rnacentral:rRNA from 1 species
UGGGGAAUUUUGGACAAUGGGGGAAACCCUGAUCCAGCCAUGCCGCGUGAGUGAAGAAGGCCUUCGGGUUGUAAAGCUCUUUCGGCUGGGAAGAAAUCGCACAGGCUAAUACUCUGUGUGGAUGACGGUACCAGCACAAGAAGCACCGGCUAACUACGUGCCAGCAGCCGCGGUAAUACGUAGGGUGCGAGCGUUAAUCGGAAUUACUGGGCGUAAAGCGUGCGCAGGCGGUUGUGCAAGACAGAUGUGAAAUCCCCGGGCUCAACCUGGGAACUGCAUUUGUGACUGCACGACUAGAGUACGGCAGAGGGGGGUAGAAUUCCACGUGUAGCAGUGAAAUGCGUAGAGAUGUGGAGGAAUACCGAUGGCGAAGGCAGCCCCCUGGGUCGAUACUGACGCUCAUGCACGAAAGCGUGGGGAGCAAACAGG